rnacentral:rRNA from 1 species
ACACUGCACGCGAGUGCGAUAGGGGGACUCCGAGUGCGAGGGCAUAUAGUCCUCGCUUUUCUGGACCGUAAGGAGGUCCAAGAAUAAGGGCUGGGCAAGACCGGUGCCAGCCGCCGCGGUAAUACCGGCAGCCCGAGUGAUGGCCGCGAUUAUUGGGCCUAAAGCGUUCGUAGCCUGCCGGACAAGUCCGUUGGGAAAUCCACGCGCUCAACGCGUGGGCGUCCAGCGGAAACUGUCCGGCUUGGGGCCGGAAGACUCGGGGGGUACGUCUGGGGUAGGAGUGAAAUCCCGUAAUCCCGGACGGACCGCCGGUAGCGAAAGCGCCUCGAGAGGACGGACCCGACGGUGAGGGACGAAAGCCAGGGUCUCGAA